GAUGAAGAACGCAGCGAAAUGCGAUAAGUAAUGUGAAUUGCAGAAUUCAGUGAAUCAUCGAAUCUUUGAACGCACAUUGCGCCCAUUAGUAUUCUAGUGGGCAUGCCUGUUCGAGCGUCAUUAAGUCCACUUAAGCCCUGCUUAGUGUUGGGAGACUGCUCCAGCGGUGCUACCCUGUAGCUACCCUGCAGCUCCUCAAAGACAGCGGCGGAGUUGUGGUAUCCUCUGAGCUUAGUAACUUGUUCUAGCUUUCGAGUACACCACUUCCCCUGCCGUAAAACCCUUAAUUUUUAAUGGUUGACCUCGGAUCAGGUAGGAAUACCCGCUGAACUUAAGCAUAUCAAUCGGAGGA
rnacentral:misc_RNA from 1 species